rnacentral:snoRNA from 1 species
UUAAGUGAUGAUAAUGAGCCCCAGAGGCUCUAUAUAUUUAUAUAAACCCAGCUCUUCGAUAUUUAUGUUUCAUGAGAAGAAAGUCCUAGAUAUCUGAUU